GAUGAACGCUGGCGGCGUGCCUAAUACAUGCAAGUCGAGCGAACGGACGAGAAGCUUGCUUCUCUGAUGUUAGCGGCGGACGGGUGAGUAACACGUGGAUAACCUCCCUAUAAGACUGGGAUAACUUCGGGAAACCGGAGCUAAUACCGGAUAAUAUUUUGAACCGCAUGGUUCAAAAGUGAAAGACGGUCUUGCUGUCACUUAUAGAUGGAUCCGCGCUGCAUUAGCUAGUUGGUAAGGUAACGGCUUACCAAGGCAACGAUGCAUAGCCGACCUGAGAGGGUGAUCGGCCACACGGGAACGGAGACACGGUCCAGGCGCCUGCGGGAGGCAGCAGAAGGGAAUCUUCCGCAAUAGGCGAAAGCCUGACGGAGCAACGCCGCGUGAGUGAUGAAGGUCUUCGGAUCGUAAAACUCUGUUAUUAGGGAAGAACAUAUGUGUAAGUAACUGUGCACAGCUUGACGGUACCUAAUCAGAAAGCCACGGCUAACUACGUG
rnacentral:rRNA from 1 species